UACGGAGGGUGCAAGCGUUAUCCGGAUUCACUGGGUUUAAAGGGUGCGUAGGUGGGCAAGUAAGUCAGUGGUGAAAUCUCCGGGCUUAACCCGGAAACUGCCAUUGAUACUAUUUGUCUUGAAUACUGUGGAGGUCAGCGGAAUAUGUCAUGUAGCGGUGAAAUGCUUAGAUAUGACAUAGAACACCAAUUGCGAAGGCAGCUGGCUACACAAAUAUUGACACUGAGGCACGAAAGCAUGGGGAGCGAACAGG
rnacentral:rRNA from 1 species